GGGAGGAGUGUGAGCCAGGGGACACAUGCAGCCUCCAGAAGCUGGAGAAGGCAAGGAAACAGAUCUUCCCCUGGGGCCUUCAGGAGGAACACAGUCCUGCUGACCUUGAGUUGAGACCUUCUGACCUUCAGAACUGGCUUGAAAAGCAAACUGCAGAAGGAUCAGACUACUGAUGAAGGCCUUGAAAUGAAGCCAUUUGGAGAGAUGUCUCAACCUAUCCACAUUGGGGUAUAAAUCUGAGCAAUUUCUGCUUUUGCAAUUGCUGCUAUGAACAGCACAGUGUGGACAUCCACCAUCAUCUGUCCCUGCUUCUCCAAAUGGAGCUCCUGGGCUGGAGUUUGACAACUUUGGGCCAAAGAGACUAUCACCAUUCUCUGACAUGCUCCACAUGCACCAUCUUCUAAGAUCUUCUAAGAGAUGAGAAGAUGGGGAUCAACAUUGAAACACUCACAGCCCCAGGAGGGGCCAGGCAGCACUCUACAGGCCUCUCUCCAGGGCGUAGCAGCACACCAGCAAAGGACUACAUCCUUUAUGAGACAGUGCAUUUCUGUGGGAGCAUAUGGAAGAGACGGAGGAAGGGAGAGAGGUAAGAUGGGGGUCUAGAAUAAUCAUCGUACCUGAGAGGCUCAGGCAUGAACAGCAGCAUGUGGACCAGCAGGCAGGCUCCUCCCUACGCUGUGGCUAGGGAAACUUGGAAGGGGAGGGAAGACAGCAGAGCACUGAUAACUCCCAGGCGCAGCCGCCAAGCUCCCAGGAUUUCUAGAGAUGAGGUCAUAAAAAGCUGUUCUCUUUUGUUCUCACAGCAACCAGGCCUAGCCCCUUCC